AACGUAGGAGACAAACGUUAUCCGGAGUUACUGGGCGUAAAGGGCGUGUAGGUGGUAGAGUAAGUCUGGCGUGAAAUUUUUCGGCUUAACCGGGAAAGGUCGUCGGAUACUGCUUAACUAGAGGACGGUAGAGGCGUGUGGAAUUCCGGGUGUAGUGGUGAAAUGCGUAGAGAUCCGGAGGAACACCAGUGGCGAAGGCGACACGCUGGGCCGUACCUGACACUGAGGCAUGAAAGCGUGGGGAGCAAACAGG
rnacentral:rRNA from 1 species